GAUGAACGCUGGCGGCGUGCUUAACACAUGCAAGUCGAACGAAGCACUUUAUUUGAUUUCCUUCGGGACUGAUUAUUUUGUGACUGAGUGGCGGACGGGUGAGUAACGCGUGGGUAACCUGCCUUGUACAGGGGGAUAACAGUUGGAAACGGCUGCUAAUACCGCAUAAGCGCACAGCAUCGCAUGAUGCAGUGUGAAAAACUCCGGUGGUAUAAGAUGGACCCGCGUUGGAUUAGCUAGUUGGUGGGGUAACGGCCCACCAAGGCGACGAUCCAUAGCCGACCUGAGAGGGUGACCGGCCACAGUGGGACUGAGACACGGCCCAAACUCCUACGGGAGGCAGCAGUGGGGAAUAUUGCACAAUGGGCGAAAGCCUGAUGCAGCGACGCCGCGUGAGCGAAGAAGUAUUUCGGUAUGUAAAGCUCUAUCAGCAGGGAAGAUAAUGACGGUACCUGACUAAGAAGCACCGGCUAAAUACGUG
rnacentral:rRNA from 1 species